GUGAUCUUGGAGUCUGGUACAAAAACCUCCGGAGAUGUGACCAGUAUGCAAUGUCAAUGGUGAAGAGAUGCCUGAUUUUCUUUGUAAGGAAAUUUGGAAAUGCAUUCAACAUAACUGGAGUCAUCAGAUUGGUAAAAGAGACUACAGCCUCUGACCUUGGGAGUUCAAAAAAAGACCCUUCAGCGUCUUAGCAUUCCGGAGUCUGGAUUCCAAAGACAGAGCAGCACUUGUGACCCAAGGAAUAAGAAGUAACCUUUCGGCCCCAGCCCAGUGGUAGUGGAGACAAAGACUCAUCCAGCAGAUAUGUCACUUUUGGAUGUGAACUUGGUAAGGUCAAUGAAUGCUAUGUAGGAACUGAAGUAAGUUGAGCCCACUCCCCUCAAAG